AGUCCUAUAAGAUUCAGAGAGGGGAUUUCUUGGAACCUUAGAAGAUGCUGUGCUCAGAUGACCUCUCUAAGGAAAGGCUGCCAAGUUCUGGAAAGCUUGAAGGACUUAAAAGAGAAAGUUUUCAUUUAGAGCAUCCAUUGCCUGGAACAUAUCAAACCUGAAGGCUGCGUUUCAAUCCAACGGCUUCUAACCAGCUGAAACUGAUGGAUGACUAGCAAAGCAGAGCGAGCCCAGGGUGACGGUGCCUCACCCACUUAAAUGCAGACUCUUCAGUGACCUAUGAACUGUGUGGCUUGUUUUCAUCAACUGCGUGCAGACGAAUGGCCUGGUGGCCCCCAACCCUGAGUGCAGACCUCACUCGUUUAUUAGCAGUGUCCCUGUAAGCACACACCACAUUCCCGAUACAUUAAACCUCCUGACCUUCGGCCUCCGAACCACGCAGGAACAUGGUUCAUUGGCAUGUGUUCCCUUAUUGGAGAGCAAAUAGACUCCACACUGGCUUGGGGAUCAUGCUAGAGGUCACUGUCUAUAGGACCUGGAAGAGGAGGAGGAGAUGCCGUGAUGGGACAGGAGACAGGCUCUCCUCAAGAGCCUCUGUCCCAAGUUCGCCCAGCUGCAGAUGGAACCAGAGAUCCACUGGGGGCUGGGAAGCUACCCCCCUCACUGUCAGCCUGCCUCUGGUUCUCCCAUGGCUGCCUUGGGUCUGUGUCAGCCGGUGAACUCCCUCCUCCUGGGAGCACAGCCAUGGCCAGGUGGGCUCCCCACACCUCCUAGGGCGGGAAAGUGCGUCCUCCUGUGCGGGCCCCAGGAAAGUAUGCCCACAUGGGUCACCCUCCCCAGCCAGCCAAGGGUCCCCUGAGUGUUCAGUUGUUAUAAAUGACAUCAGACAGAUGGGCAGGGAGGUGUCCCUGAAGUCCCCUUCCUCUCUCCCAGGGGCUCACUCCAUCCGUGAGAGCAGAUGCCAUAGAGGAAGGAAGUCAAGACUCCUACAUAAUUUGGUUUCUAUUUUUGUCACGUGUAGUUUAGUUUUGUUUUGCUGUUUUCUGAAAACCCGCCUCACUGAAGAAGCAUGUGGGAAUAAUUCUUGCAAUCGUUUGUUCACUGAGUAGGUCAUGUCUGACCUGACUGGUCUUUUUCUGACAAGCGACAAAAAUAGGACUUCUGCCAGGGCCUUUGCAGAGAGCUCCGGCUGUUCCCACAGCCAUCCCAUCUUAGUCGGUUCAGCUGCUGUCACAAAGUACCGUCGACAGAGUGGCUUAUAAACAACAGAAAUUCAUUUCUCACAGCUCUGGAGCCUGAGUCUAAACAGGGUCAUAAACAUCCUUAAAAGUCCUGUCACUUAGGAACAGUUCUGGGCAAUGAAUUCUCCUGGAGCUCCCAAGAGCCAGGUCUGGGGCGGUCACAUUUCUAAUGAGGAGGAUGCGUGUCUACACACAGCAGCAUUGUCCUCCCUUGCUGUCAUUCUGAAUGACAACUUUUAAAUGAAUGGGCCGGUUACCACUUGACCAAGAGAAGAAGCAGAAGCUAAACACCAUGCAAGGAGGGUGUGAAGCUGGACCCUAUGGCUGUUUCUGGACUGCUCUCCCACUGUACCACCUACCACAUAAACCCUCCUCUAUAUUUAAAAUGAGGUCAUGAGAGUGGGUCCUAAUCCAGUAUGAUUAAGGAUUUACAAAAAAGCCAUAUAAAGUCCUUAUAUGAAGGGGAAAUUUGGAUGCAGACGCGGACACUUCCAGAGCGAAGAUGAUGGGAAGACACCCAGGGAGAAGAUGACCAUGUGACUGUAGUCAUGAAGUUACAAGCAAGGAACGCCCAGGACUGCUGGCAAACCAGAUGCUAAGACAAGGCGGGGAAGGAUUCUCCCCGAAGCCGUCAGAGAGAGCGUGGCCUUCCCGACACCUUGGUUUCAGACUUCCAGCCUCCAGGACUGAGAGACAAAUUUCUGUCCUUUUAAGUCAUCUACUUUUUAAAAUUUUGUUAUGAUAGCUCUGGGAAAUUAAUACCUCUGGGAUCCCUUUGACAGCUUGGUAGAGAACAGAUGUGAGGUGUGAGGAAAUCCUGAAGGUGGGGAGAGCUGCUGGGAGCCUGUUUUAUUGCUCUCCGGAGAGAGAACAGGAACCUGAAUUAAGACAGGGCAGUAAGGAAGGAGAGGAAGAGAAAGAUUAGAGAAAUAUUUAGGAGAAAAAACCAGUGAACUUGGCAUUGACUGUGUGGGAGGUCAGAGAGAGAGACUUACAGGAUUUUAUCCUGCAGUCUGGUGGGGCGACAGGUGAAACUGAGCAAGUAGGAGGAAGAGCGGUCUUCAGGUGGCAGACAAAGAUGAGUUCAGGUAUGAUGUCCUCAGUAGAGAUCUGAAGGCCUCUUGAAGAAUGGAAACCCAAUCAGCAAUUGGAGAUUCAUCAAAAAUUCCAGGUAUCUGUACUGAUCACCUUUUGCUGCAUCAAAAAAAUCCCCAAAUCUCAGUGUCUUAAAACCAAAAACAUUCAUUUCUCACCCAGAGGUACGUGGCCUCUGCUCGCGCUGUGGGCUUGGUUCAGGUCUGCUCAUGUGCUGCUCAUUCCGACAUGCACGCUGCCUGGGCACAGCUGCCUCCAGUGUGCCCCCAUCAAAGCUGAGGCUGAAGGGCUGAGCUGAGACACAAGACUCUGCCACUUCUUCCCAUCAGCAUAUGAUCAGGCCCUGAGUCAGUGGAUCAUGGGAGUAACUUCACCUCCUGGGAGGGACCACGAAGCAAAAGUGAGGGAAGGCGUGCUAGAGCAGUGUGUUAACUGUGUCUUUUAUUCUCUGCGUUUAGAUGCUUCCACUCUGGGGUCUUGCUGGCCCUGGAGGGAUUUCCCUCCCUCCUAGGGCUAUUAAUUCCUAGAGGUAGUAAACAACUCGCCCAUGAGCUUUGCAAAUGCAAACCAACCCAUCCACAACCCAACCACCUUUUUUUUUUUUUUUGAGGAAGAUUAGCCCUGAGCUAACAUCUGCCACCAA